rnacentral:rRNA from 1 species
AUUGAACGCUGGCGGCAGGCCUAACACAUGCAGGUCGAACGGUAACAGGAAACAGCUUGCUGUUUCGCUGACGAGUGGCGGACGGGUGAGUAAUGUCUGGGAAACUGCCUGAUGGAGGGGGAUAACUACUGGAAACGGUAGCUAAUACCGCAUAACGUCGCAAGACCAAAGAGGGGGACCUUCAGGCCUCUUGCCAUCGGAUGUGCCCAGAUGGGAUUAGCUAGUAGGUGGGGUAACGGCUCACCUAGGCGACGAUCCCUAGCUGGUCUGAGAGGAUGACCAGCCACACUGGAACUGAGACACGGUCCAGACUCCUACGGGAGGCAGCAGUGGGGAAUAUUGCACAAUGGGCGCAAGCCUGAUGCAGCCAUGCCGCGUGUAUGAAGAAGGCCUUCGGGUUGUAAAGUACUUUCAGCGGGGAGGAAGGGAGUAAAGUUAAUACCUUUACUCAUUGACGUUACCCGCAGAAGAAGCACCGGCUAACUCCGUG